GGGAGGGGGCUACAUCCCCGGCUUUAGACGCGCGAGUCUCAGGUCCCGCUAAUUACCUGGCGGGUGCUGCCCACCCCUGCCCUCGCGCACCUAGCGCGGUGGCAGGCGGGAAGGCGGGGCCUGGGGGAGCCCCACCCCUGGAGACUGCGGCUGGGGCCUCCCUCUCCUCCGCCCGCCCGCCUGCCACUAGCUCAUUGCGCCUCUCCUGCAGUCUGAUUGGCACCGGCUCCCAUUCCGGCUCCAGCCUCCAAUCCGACCCCCAUUUCGGCUGCAGCCUCGGACCUAGCUCCGGCCCUCGGUCUAUCCGGUUGCAUCCUCCCUCCCUGUUCCGGAUCUUAUCUUGCGCCAGCGCCUACUCCAGGAUCCCGUAGCCAGACCUCAAGCCAUGGCUGGUCCCUUCUCCCGUCUGCUGUCCGCCCGCCCGGGACUCAGGCUCCUGGCUUUGGCCGGAGCGGGGUCUCUAGCCGCUGGGUUUCUGCUCCGACCGGAACCUGUACGAGCUGCCAGUGAACGACGGAGGCUGUAUCCCCCGAGUGUUGUGUCAUGGGAGGAAAGAACUGAGCAGAUCUGAAGAAACUGAGCUGGCCAGCCAGAGGCAACUAGAACUAUUAGGAAAGCAUAGACUCUGAAAGUCCCUAAAGAGAUUACCAAGGUUUACCCUCUUUCUAAUUCCCCCUCCUCCCGCGGAGCAAAGCCAGACAUGGCCAACUGGACAGCUCCCAGGUAACUGCACUAGGUCUAGGCGUCUGUGCCCUCCCUCCAUGGUUACUGGGUACCCCCUCCCCAGCGCUGAGUACCCAGACCUCCGAAAGCACAACAACUGCAUGGCCAGUCACCUGACCCCAGCAGUCUAUGCACGGCUCUGCGACAAGACCACACCCACUGGUUGGACGCUAGAUCAGUGUAUCCAGACUGGCGUGGACAACCCUGGCCACCCCUUCAUCAAGACUGUGGGCAUGGUGGCUGGAGAUGAGGAGACCUAUGAGGUAUUUGCUGACCUGUUUGACCCUGUGAUCCAAGAGCGACACAAUGGAUAUGACCCCCGGACAAUGAAGCACACCACGGAUCUAGAUGCCAGUAAAAUCCGUUCUGGCUACUUUGAUGAGAGGUAUGUAUUGUCCUCUAGAGUCAGAACUGGCCGAAGCAUCCGAGGACUCAGUCUGCCUCCAGCUUGCACUCGAGCAGAGCGACGAGAGGUGGAACGUGUUGUGGUGGAUGCACUGAGUGGCCUGAAGGGUGACCUGGCUGGACGUUACUAUAGGCUCAGUGAGAUGACAGAGGCUGAACAGCAGCAGCUUAUUGAUGACCACUUUCUGUUUGAUAAGCCUGUGUCCCCGUUGCUGACUGCAGCAGGAAUGGCUCGAGACUGGCCAGAUGCUCGUGGAAUUUGGCACAACAAUGAGAAGAGCUUCCUGAUCUGGGUGAAUGAGGAGGAUCAUACACGGGUGAUCUCCAUGGAGAAGGGUGGUAACAUGAAGAGAGUGUUUGAAAGAUUCUGCCGAGGCCUCAAAGAGGUUGUUGUGGGGAUUAAGUGAAAUACAGGUAAAGUACUUGGUCCACAGUAAGUGCUUAAUAAGUGUUAAAGUGUUAGCUGCAAUAUUAUUCUGGAUGGAAGAGUUUCCCCCCAUGUUCAGCAUGUAAGAUAUCCCCUAUGGCAUGGUUCCUUCUGAACUAUAAAGAGGAUCCCUUUACUCAUGUUGGGUUGUGGUCUUUGUGACCAUCAUUCUGCUAGAUCCCUUGUCUCUUGAACUCUAAUAGUCAUCUUCAUGACUACAUGGUUAAGUGAAGCCAAACGCCUUCCCCCCGCCCCCUAUUCCUAUGAAUCUGGCUUUUCUGCUCUGUUUUCAUCUUUCUCUGCAUUCACACAGGUGCUCCGUUCACAGCUAACAGAAUGUUAUCUUACCUCUUCCUGGCAAAGCUUACACCUUCAUCUUCUGUCUGAAGGGACCCUUCUAAGCUCUAGGCUCAUUAGCAAAGCAAAGAUAAUCGAUGCAUGCAGACCUCAUUGAAUAAUCAGUCAUCUCUCAGUUCAGUUUACCACCUCUGUUCAUUUCCCUAGAUCAUCCUUAAUACACCACUCCUUCGAGUUUUCUUCUUCCACAUAAGAUAUUUUUUCACAAUCUCAUUAUUAUGCACAUCAUAAUUUUGCAUCAUGCAUGCAUGAAAACAAUAACAAACCUUUUUCAUUUAAAAAAAGACCAAUGUCAUUCAUUCACAGCCAAGUUUCUGUUCUAGACAUAUUUCUAGUGUUCUUGUGGGUCUAGCUAAGGGAGGGUCCAGGGUUAAUGAAAUAUCCCUGAUUUUUCGUUAACAAAACCUUUGUGGACUCAGGUGGAGAGACUUAUCCAAGAACGUGGCUGGGAGUUCAUGUGGAAUGAGCGUUUGGGAUACAUCUUGACCUGUCCAUCUAACCUGGGCACUGGACUUCGGGCAGGAGUGCACAUCAAACUGCCCCUGCUAAGCAAAGAUAGCCGCUUCCCAAAGAUCCUGGAGAACCUAAGACUCCAAAAACGUGGUACUGGAGGAGUGGACACUGCUGCUACAGGCGGUGUCUUUGAUAUUUCUAAUUUGGACCGACUAGGCAAAUCAGAGGUGGAGCUGGUGCAACUGGUCAUCGAUGGAGUAAACUAUUUGAUUGAUUGUGAACGGCGUCUGGAGAGAGGCCAGGAUAUCCGCAUCCCCACACCUGUCAUCCACACCAAGCAUUAACUCCCCAUCGCCAGCUGAUGACUCAAGAUUCCCAGGAGUUCUGCUCAUUCUAAUGAUGGCCCAUUCUACUUGCUCUGGACCUGCCCCCGCAUCCCCUGCCUCCAUCCUAGUAAAGACUCCUUGCUAUGCUGCA